rnacentral:siRNA from 1 species
CGAUGGUGGUUAUGGUGGUA